UUGUUAUCUUCAAUGUUACUCUACAUCCAACAGUGUGUUUUAAAUCCAUCUAUUUAUCUAUCUAAUCAGAAAAUAUGUUGCGUGUUUACAGAAUAUCUUUGGACAUUUAUAAAAAUUAAGUAGUGCAGCGCCGCUAUAAUCUAACAAGAGAGCACCACACAGCCGAUCCAAACGCAUGAAGGAAUGUAAGAAUUUCCGGAGAAUGAAAUAACACCAAAGAAAAGUGGGAGUAUCAAGGAGGCACAUGUGAAUGAAGAUAUCUAUUAGCAGGAAAGCAUUCUCGUGGGGUCUUGCGUAAUCUCAGGGG
rnacentral:lncRNA from 1 species